GUGAAUUGCUUAUUCGUUAAGACGUUCUUCUGAUGCAAUCUACAGAAAGUUUCUUUUGAGACACUUUUUUCUUCUUUCAUGUAUUUUCUGCAGCUGUUUUCUGUUUUCUGUGAUUAGUGGCCAUUUCUCUUUUUGCUUUUAAAGGAGAGUAACAGUUCAGCUAUGCCACUGCCUUCCUCUGCAUCCCUGGAGGAAAACUGGUGGGGUAUUGGAAAAACACAGAGUUAAAUAUUAACAUGAACUACUAAAUGUUCUCACUCCAAAAAGUCAGGAACACUUCCAAGCACUGAAAGCAGACUUUCCUUUCCUGUAGUUAAAUUCUGCUGCUUAACUUCCAAAACUACAGCUUGCUUGGUCAUUAUUUUAACAUGGCUAAACAUGAAACAUCAGGCUGCUUCUGCUUCCCAGGUGAUAGAGAUAGGGAAGGAAUCUCAUGCAGACACUUAAUGCUGAGACAUAUAAUAAGUUUUUUUUUCUGAGUAAGGGGUUGAUUUUUCCCCCCCUUGUGCUUAGAAGUACAGGUUCCAUUGUUUGCACUUUUAGUCAGAAAGGCAGUGUUAAUAAACACUGUGAUUUGGUAUCGAUGCUGUAGUAACCCCAUAAGGCGUAAUCUGAACACAUAUAGCCAUCCCCUUUCUUAUUAGCUGAGGACUUCUGACAGAUCUCAGAGUUUCCAACCUCUUAAUAAAUCUCUUCCAUGUCUAGCCUAAAUCUGCUGGCUUGUUCUUUUAUUUUCUUCCCCAUUUGUUUUUUUAAACUGGCAACAGCAAGAUUUUAUAUUAGAUAAUCAUUUCGGACUUGCAUUGGAAUAUUUAGUUAGCAGAGUUUCUAACUAUUAAUGGCAAAGUCUGCUGUGGGAGCGCAUGGACUAGACAGAAUCCAUUGUGCUUUCAGCAAGGCUUUUUAUUUGUUUUUAAUCUAAUUCAGGAAAUGCAGUUCUGUAAAGCCAGUAAUUAUUUCCCUUAGUAAUUCAUAUUUUGCUGAAAAAUCAAUCCCUCACAUGAGAAGCCAGGAGAGUACCAUAUGUUAUCCAUUAUAUGCUUCUCAUCAUCUCUCCUAACUCUUCAGUGUAGUAAGCAAAAUGAUUUUAACUUGACAAAAUUGUGUGUCCUCCCUAGGGCAAGGGUUGUAGUCCUGCUCUACAUCAACUGGUGUAUCGGGAACAGUAGAGCCCAUGGCCCUGAAGUGGAAGGGCUGCAUUGGUUAAUAUAAUACUUAUGGGAUGGCGCUGUUGAACCUUCUGUCUGUAUGUGGAAGAACUGUGUGUGGCAAUAUGGAGUUAAUCCUUCAGAAAGAAAAUGAUGGGUUUUGUUUUAAUGCUGAUUACUUGCACAGUAGCAUCAUGAAGUGAGAGAGGUCCUGGCAUUUGUAUGAGGCACGUGCUUCUGCCCACGAACUGCCAGUGAGAUAAGUCAAUAAAACAAGCCAUGCAAGGCAGAGAUUGCUUAGAGGUGGUGGAGACCUAUUAGGCUAUCUCACCCUCCUGCAUGCCAGAAAGGAAUUGUUUCAUUUGGAUUUGCAUUAAAGGACAGAGGAACAGCUGAGUAAAGCACAGGAUAACAUUGCUGUGUGAUGGGGUUGGAGCUCUGCUGUACUUCAGUUCUUGCAUUUGCAUCUGCCUUUGCACCAUGUAAGCAGCAAUAGCCAACCAGUUUUUCUUUCCAGGCUGAGAACGAGAAGAAAAGACAAAAAUCAGUGAGUAUAUCUUUGUGUGCGCGUGUGUUUGACAGACGUCUGCCCAUGUUACACCAGUAGUGAGGAGUCAAUGGCUACUCUGCCUGCCCACAGGGAGGGGAUGUUACAGAGCCAACACACUGCAAAGAGAACAAAGGCCGCUCUGCAUCGUGGCUGUGUGCAGCACGCUGCUAGUGCAGAGCAAGCGACCAUUUCCUAUUACAGCAGUGUCUCCAUGCAAGGCUGCGACACAAAGUGAUUCAACUCUCUGGGAUCUGCUGCGUGCUGUUCUGGCACUGACACGGGAGGUCUCUGUGGUCAAAAAGGCUGACAAGCGUAUUGGUGCUGCUGCUUUAAGCAGCUUCAUCUGGUGACUGGACAGGGAAUUGCAGGCACAUUUGUUUCAUUGCAUUAAUUUCUUGCAUUAUUCCCCUUUUGUCUGUUAUUGUUUCUUUACCACUAUUUGUGUUUCAAUAGGAAAAGAAUUCUGUGGUGAACUAUGUGCAUGUCCUACUUCUGUUCAGGCCUGACAUGUUUAUAUAUACAAAGAGUUAUGGAUGAAUUAAAGAGGACCAAAGAAGCUCAGAAAUUCUUUGGAAAAGCUUGUCAAAUUUUUAAUUAAUGGGCACGUAGCAGAGGGAGUGAAAUCUGUUGCUUAAUACCAUAAUAGGCAGUGCAGUGCCUGUGCCUCUUUCUGCCAUCCUUAACAGACGGAUUUAUUUUUGGUAAUGAGACAUUUAUCUCCUUUGCAUCUAUUAAAAGCCAAUUCCAGUGUCAGAAAAAUCAGUUGGAAAUAAUAUGAAAAAAUGUAGUGAUGAAAUGUGCCUGCGUUUUCUGUAUGCUUCUCAGAGCUCUGACAAAUCUUUUUUCACUUCAGCUUAGUUUAUUUUUGUUUAUUUUUGUCUUGCUGCAGUUCACGUUUCCAGACAAUUAAGGUGUUAUCUUGAUAGCACCAAAUAAUGCUGUGAAUAUUUAGAUUGUGUAAAGAGGCUUAAUGGAAUUACUUGCAGGCCGGUAAUUAAUAUACUGUCGGUGUAAAUGAGUGGUUUUGAACUUUUUCUCUGUAUGUGGACUCUAGACUUGUUUUGUUGGAUCCUGAUCCCCUCUGUACCUGUCUUAACCCUAUUGCCAGCAGGCUUGCUUUUAUUCGUGGACAUCUUUGCACACAGAAAAAACCCAACACUGAUAAAUAUCAGUGGUAAGUGGCAGCCUGGAUCAGCUCCACUGGUGCCAUGGAGAAGGAGUCCACACAGAAAUAACUGCAGAAAAGAGUGCCUGUUUCUUUGAGUAAUAAAUAAAUAUGGGUUGUGCAUGCAUUUCUCACUCUGAUUUGAGGCAAUUUAAUUAGGAAGGUGUUUUCACACUUGUGGACUGGGUCGUUAAUUUAAUUCUUAAGCAGAUCAGCAAGCAGACAGCUUUUCUUAAUCUGUCCAUAGAGGAGCUCAUGUGUACUCUAGAUGAACACAAUGGAUUUUUGUAGGAAUUUGUGUGAAAUCUUGUGGGAUUUAUUAGAUACCCCUUAAUAGAUUUUCAAGCUUCUGUUGGAUUUUGCAGGUGGGAUGUAAUUUUCCUAGUGAGAUCUGUAGUGCUUGACAACUGAUGAAAAACCAACAGCUUUCUUUCAGGUUUGCAAAUAAGCAUUUAUUAAACAAGAUGUUUGGUGCCUCUGCAUCUCCAUUUUGUUUGCUGUAGUGAAGAGGAAAUGGCCAGGAUAUCAGAAAGGCUGAGUGAUACAAAGUGACCCAGAAACUUAUUCCAGGAAGUUUAUUUUCAGAAAGUGUUGAGUAUUCAAACUUUGAAAACCCUUUAAAGUAUCUGUGAUCCACACCAGACUUUCAGUCUUGGUUGAUAGGCAUCUCAUAAAGGUGGCUUAAGACUAAAUGGAUCGAUAUACAAAAUGCUUUGACUUUUUAGCUGAUAAAGUGCUAAUUAUAAGUAAGUACUAUAACCCAUCUAGUAACGGACUCACAG
rnacentral:lncRNA from 1 species